GAUGAACGCUGGCGGCGUGCCUAAUACAUGCAAGUCGAGCGAACAGACGAGGAGCUUGCUCCUUUGACGUUAGCGGCGGACGGGUGAGUAACACGUGGGUAACCUACCUAUAAGACUGGGAUAACUUCGGGAAACCGGAGCUAAUACCGGAUAAUAUUUCGAACCGCAUGGUUCGAUAGUGAAAGAUGGCUCUGCUAUCACUUAUAGAUGGACCUGCGCCGUAUUAGCUAGUUGGUAAGGUAACGGCUUACCAAGGCAACGAUACAUAGCCGACCUGAGAGGGUGAGCGGCCACACUGGAACUGAGACACGGUCCAGACUCCUACGGGAGGCAGCAGUAGGGAAUCUUCCGCAAUGGGCGAAAGCCUGACGGAGCAACGCCGCGUGAGUGAUGAAGGUCUUCGGAUCGUAAAACUCUGUUAUGAGGAAAGAACAAACGUGUAAGUAACGGUGCACGUCUUGACGGUACCUAAUCAGAAAGCCACGGCUAACUACGU
rnacentral:rRNA from 1 species